UGCUAUGGCGGCUGUGUGGGGGACGUCUUCGGACGUGUCGGAGUGCUGUUUCCGGCUGGCCAACCCGCGCACAGUCCGCCACCCAC
rfam:Pseudomonas sp. 1 R 17 genome assembly PSEFL294_LIB5394, contig: PSEFL294_LIB5394_000062